rnacentral:piRNA from 1 species
UUGCAUCACUGAGUUAUACUGCACCAGAGU